rnacentral:rRNA from 1 species
GACGAACGCUGGCGGCGUGCUUAACACAUGCAAGUCGAACGGAAAGGCCCUGCUUUUGUGGGGUGCUCGAGUGGCGAACGGGUGAGUAACACGUGAGUAACCUGCCCUUGACUUUGGGAUAACUUCAGGAAACUGGGGCUAAUACCGGAUAGGAGCUCCUGCUGCAUGGUGGGGGUUGGAAAGUUUCGGCGGUUGGGGAUGGACUCGCGGCUUAUCAGCUUGUUGGUGGGGUAGUGGCUUACCAAGGCUUUGACGGGUAGCCGGCCUGAGAGGGUGACCGGCCACAUUGGGACUAAGGUACGGACCAGACUCCUACGGGAGGCAGCAGUGGGGAAUAUUGCACAAUGGGCGGAAGCCUGAUGCAGCAACGCCGCGUGCGGGAUGACGGCCGUCGGGUUGUAAACCGCUUUCGCCUGUGACGAAGCGUGAGUGACGGUAAUGGGUAAAGAAGCACCGGCUAACUACGUG